rnacentral:lncRNA from 1 species
GACUUACUUGGGGCGACCCAGUCGGUAAGCAGCUGAGCCUGUCUACUCAAAUCCACAAAUUCUGUCUUCGAGGGCAUAUGUGCUCUUCCUGCCGUAGAAAGCACACUCCCCUCAGCUUGAUUACUUACAAGAUAAAACAAUUUUGGAUUUAUUUUAGAUUUUAGAAAUAUUUUCAGAUCAGGUUCAAGUACAAAAGAGUUGCCAAGUCAGUUCUUAGAGUAACUGAAAUGCACUAGCAUCUUGUGAAAUAAGUCAGUAGGCCUACAGAAAUAUCCAUUUGGUUUUCUGGAGGGUCAGUAGUUGCGCUGCUGCCAGAGAGAAUUAGGUACCUGUGAAGAUAGAGCUGAGAAUCUUCCUCCAGUACUUAGAAGAAGACGUAGUAAACUUUCCAGAAAAAAAAAAAAAGACAAGAAAGAAAGGAAGGAAAAUACCAGGCUGAAGUCACCGCUACAUAAAGUCAUCCUUAGGACUCCCCCCACAAUCAGAAUGCCCAGCAAUUUUUUUUUUCUGUGAGUUCCAAACCAUAACAACUCUCUAUUAAUGGACUUAAGGCCAAAACUUUUAACACAAACUAGUCUGGAACUUUGAACUGAUUUGAUAGUUUGAGGUCUCCAGACCAGAAUUUAAAUUUAAUCCAGAGAAAGCAACUAAUCUAGAACCAGAACAGCCUUUACAGAGGGGGAGUAGGGUAAACCUCAUUUUGCUUUCUUAUUUCAAUUCAGGGUCAGUUUUCUGACCUGCCAAGGUGUUGGAAAGCUUGACUUUAUACAAGGAUCAGUAACCCAUUCAUGAGCUCUGUGAUGGGUUAAAAACAGCAAAUAAUUCUCAUAUUAAAGAUGGAGUCUAUCGGGUAAAGCGUGAAAUGUGGGCCAGACCUGUAACUUGUUUGACCAACAAAAUGUAGUGGAAAGUGACACUGGAGGGCUUCCAAAGGGCUUGCAGCUUCCCCUUUUUAUGUAUCUAGAGCCCAAAGAGCUCCAUGCUCAGAGGAUGAAAAACCACAGGAGGAGGGAGGCCUACGUUCUCUAGCAUCUCAGAUGAGGCCAACCCAGUGACCCGACAGCUGGAUACAGCAUAUGAAGGAAGUGUCUGUGCAUAGGCAGGGAGACCAGCAGGAGAAUCAGUCAAUUCACAAAAUUGUGAGAAGCCAUGAAUAGUCCAUAAUUUCAGACAUGACGUUUUAGGGAUGGUUACAGCAACAUGUAACAGAACACAAUCUCCCUAGGAGGAAGGUGCUUUGUUUUCCUUCCGUUUCUUGCAGAACAUGUCUCCU